rnacentral:rRNA from 1 species
CUCCAAUAGCGUAUAUUAAAGUUGUUGCAGUUAAAACGCUCGUAGUCGGAUUUCGGGUCGGUUGCGCCGGUCUGCCGAUGGGUAUGCACUGGCGGAGUCGGCCUUUCUUCCGGAGACCGCGCCUCCUCUUAGCUGAGCGGGUGCGGGAGACGGAUCGUUUACUUUGAAAAAAUCAGAGUGUUUCAAGCAGGCAGCUCGCUCUUGCAUGGAUUAGCAUGGGAUAAUGAAAUAGGACUCUGGUGCUAUUUUGUUGGUUUCGAACACCGGAGUAAUGGUCAACAGGGACAGUCAGGGGCACUCGUAUUCCGCCGAGAGAGGUGAAAUUCUCAGACCAGCGGAAGACGAACCACUGCGAAAGCAUUUGCCAGGGAUGUUUUCACUGAUCAAGAACGAAAGUUAGGGGAUCGAAGACGAUCAGAUACCGUCGUAGUCUUAACCAUAAACCAUGCCGACUAGGGAUUGGAGGCUGUUCCUUUUGUGACUCCUUCAGCACCUUUCGGGAAACUAAAGUCUUUGGGUUCCGGGGGGAGUAUGGUCGCAAGGCUGAAACUUAAAGGAAUUGACGGAAGGGCACCACCAGGAGUGGAGCCUGCGGCUUAAUUUGACUCAACACGGGGAAACUUACCAGGUCCAGACAUUGUGAGGAUUGACAGAUUGAGAGCUCUUUCUUGAUUCGAUGGGUGGUGGUGCAUGGCCGUUCUUAGUUGGUGG